AAUAGAUACCCCGGUAGUCCACGCCGUAAACGAUGAGUGCUAAGUGUUAGGGGGGUUUCCGCCCCUUAGUGCUGCAGCUAACGCAUUAAGCACUCCGCCUGGGGAGUACGGUCGCAAGACUGAAACUCAAAGGAAUCGACGGGGGCCCGCACAAGCGGUGGAGCAUGUGGUUUAAUUCGAAGCAACGCGAAGAACCUUACCAGGUCUUGACAUCCCAUUGACCACUAUGGAGACAUAGGUUUUCCCUUCGGGGACAACGGUGACAGGUGGUGCAUGGUUGUCGUCAGCUCGUGUCGUGAGAUGUUGGGUUAAGUCCCGCAACGAGCGCAACCCUUGUUCUUAGUUGCCAUCAUUUAGUUGGGCACUCUAAGGAGACUGCCGGUGACAAACCGGAGGAAGGUGGGGAUGACGUCAAAUCAUCAUGCCCCUUAUGACCUGGGCUACACACGUGCUACAAUGGACGGUACAAACGGUUGCCAACCGCGAGGGGGAGCUAAUCCGGAUAAAACCAUUCUCAGUUCGGAUUGUAGGCUGCAACUCGCCUACAUGGAACG
rnacentral:rRNA from 1 species